rnacentral:lncRNA from 1 species
GAUUUAUGCCGCACCUCAAGGAAGAAACUCACUGAAAAUUUUGCAACAUUUACAAGAUUGCGCGUAUGUUAAGGACGAGCAGGUGAUAAUCGUUUGCCAAGUGGAAAAUGCAACGUCAUAUCUUUGGUAUAAAGAUGGAAAAUUAUUGGAGGGAAAGACUGUAUCUUUUGAGGUGAGAGGUUUGAAACUGUUCAUAGGAAAAUUCAAUGAAACCGAUGCUGGUGUCUACCAAUGCGUAGGGAAAGAUGGAAAGGGGAAUUUUGGCAAGACUGCAGCUAAAUUGUCGCUUGAAGGUAUGGUAUAUACACAUACUAUAUUUAUCACACAUUUGGGCCUUUAUCAGGGCCAAAUACAGGGUGACAUAAAAGCGAUAUUUUUUGUCACUGCCUGUUAUCGUUUUUUGUUACUGAUAUCGCUUUUUGUACCGCUGUUUAUAAUUUUUGCAUUGGGGCAAUGAUUAGUAUUCUAAUAAAUUCUGAUCCUGAUAAAGGCUCAAGUAUAUCAACAGAUUAUUAUCAUCUGGGCGAUAUCAGUUUUAUCGCUUUCAGGACGAGAUCAUAAAUGUCUCUCAUUCGAUGAAACUGAUAUCUCCUCGCCCUCCUAAGAUAACCUACAUGCUGAUAUACAUAAUGCAACUUGCAUCACGGGACGGCGCUAUGGAGGGGGAGGGGAGGGGGGGGACGCCCCACAAGCCAAUUAGUCGACAAAUUGUUUUCAGACAAAAUAUUUUUCUCAUGAAAACAUCGUAAAAUAUGGUAAAACAUUGCUGUGCAUGUGGGAAAAUUUUUACCUCCCUACCCCGUACGUUACCAGAAAUUCCUUGUAAAUGUUAAAAGAGAAAUACUUUUUGAUAUACGUAUAGGAGAAAUGACGUAGCAAAAUUUCACUUACCCUCUCCCCCCGCAAUAAAAUAACACAAUUUUGCAUGCUUAUAAUUUUAAUUUUAAAAUAUAGACCCAUUGCACUGACGUCACAAAUCCUUAGAGUGUCCUCCAGAUGCUCCCUAACAAUAUCUGUUCGGGUACAACAACCACAUACAUGCAGUGCAAAAAUCAACCAUUUUAAUACAAAAGUAUUUUUGUUUUAUUUUUUGUUUUAAGUUUUACAAAAUUUGUUUUGUUUACAGAAGUUAUAUUAUGCAUAGAUUUGUCCCACUGAACACUGAUUUGUCCUUCAAAUGCAUCUUCACUAGCGCUGUGACGUCAUGUGCAAUGGGUCUAUACCACGAACCGGAUAAGCUGUGUAAAAUCAUAAGCGUUCGGGGAUGAUGCUUUCCGGGAUAUGGCACUUGAAAGUAAUUUGUAUGGAGAAUUGUAAUGAAAUUACCUGAAUUUAACUUAUUUUGUUAUAAAUCUGCCCGAAUUUUCUUGAUUUCUCCUAGCAUUUGCCCGAAUUUCCAUGGUUUUCCAAAAUGUUGGGGGUGGCAGUUGCCCCCAUGUUUCGUACGCCUAUGUAAUAGGCAAUUGCAGCUUUUAGUUUAUGCGUGUAUGGGGGUGGCCGUGUAAACACGGUGUGAUAGCUUAUGCUUGUAAAUAUCGAAACAUUUCUGUUGUGUCUGUUGGCGGUUUUUAUUGAAAUUUUUCAGCAUAAUCAGCAAUAUGAUACCUUACUUCCCGUCACCCCUUGCGCGUAUAUAUUAAAAACUGGAAUUGCCUAUUAAAAUUAGCUAGAUUUUAGGGCAUCUCACUUGAUUGAACAUUAGUUGAUGGAUUUUGUAAAUGGAAAUUUUGAGUGUAAAUUUAAGACAUUUAUAGACCCAACCAUAGGAGCAGCAGCAAAAGGUGCAACUAUAAAAGCACUCUUUGGAGGAAUCGACCCUGCGAUAAAUUAUACCGCAAGGUUGAUUAAAUAUAACUAAUCUAUUGUAUUUCUUAUCUUUUUUAGUUGGAACAGAUACGCUAUGUAGGCGACAAAGAAGUGGGUAUUGUAAUAUAAUAUACAGCCAAUUCAAAAAUGGUUUUCCUUUGCAAACCGUAGGAGCACAAGUUUCACG